CACGUGGCGGUUGCGUUGAAGGCUAUGAGCGUAGGCUCGGCUGGAGCUUCCGUCAGUGCAGAUCGUAAUGGUAGUAGCAAAUAUUCAAGUUCGAUCCUUGAAGACUGAAGUGGAGAAGGGUUCCACGUGAACAGUAGUUGGAUGUGGGUCAGUCGAUCCUAAGGUACUGGCGAAAGCCUUGUAUCAUCGGUGGCGAAAAGCUUGCUUUUUGUCCCCGCCCGUCGAAAGGGAAUAGGGUUAAUAUUCCCUAACUGAGAUGCAAAGAUUGUGUUCUUCGGAGCACAAGCGCGGUAACGCGUUCGAACUUGGUAAGUCGCUCAGAGACCGAGCUAGAGUUUUCUUCUCUAGUUAAGGAACGGACUCCCUGGAAUUGGUUCAGCCAGAGAUGGGGACGUUGUUUCCGAAAAGCACCGCGGUUUCUGUGGUGUCUCGUGCUCUCUGAACGGCCCUUUAAACACCAAGGGAGGCUAUUAAUUUGCACUCAAUCGUACCGAUAUCCGCAUUAGGUCUCCAAGGUGAACAGCCUCUAGUCGAUAGAAUAAUGUAGGUAAGGGAAGUCGGCAAACUAGAUCCGUAACUUCGGGAAAAGGAUUGGCUCCAGUGGUCGGAACGGUUGGCCAGUUGGAUUGAUGCUUGUCCGGCGCUGUUCUGUCUGCUUGAUGCUUUUCGGGCUGAUGGCGGCCUAGUGAUAGUGCUUGCUUGUUGACGCUUUCUGGUGUGUGCUUUGACCUCGGUCUUAGUAUCCUGAUCGUUCAUCUAAACGACUAAACUGGAACCGGUACGGACUCAGGGAAUCCGACUGUCUAAUUAAAACAGAGGUGACAGAUGGUCCUUGCGGACGCUGACUGUCACUGAUUUCUGCCCAGUGCUCUGAAUGUUAAAUCGUAGUAAUUCGAGUAAGCGCGGGUAAACGGCGGGAGUAACUAUGACUCUCUUAAGGUAGCCAAAUGCCUCGUCAUUUAAUUGUUGACGCGCAUGAAUGGAUUAACGAGAUUCCUACUGUCCCUAACUACUAUCUAGCGAAACCACAGCCAAGGGAACGGGCUUGGCAAAAAUAGCGGGGAAAGAAGACCCUGUUGAGCUUGACUCUAGUUUGACAUUGUGAAGAGUCAUGAGAGGUGUAGCAUAGGUGGGAGUCUUCGGACGC
rnacentral:ncRNA from 1 species